AUUGAACGCUGGCGGCAUGCCUUACACAUGCAAGUCGAACGGCAGCACGGACUUCGGUCUGGUGGCGAGUGGCGAACGGGUGAGUAAUACAUCGGAACGUGCCUAGUAGCGGGGGAUAACUAUUGGAAACGAUAGCUAAUACCGCAUGACAAUGGAGGACCCAUGUCUUUCAUUUAAAAGGUGCAACUGCAUCACUAUGAGAUGGACCUGCGUUGUAUUAGCUAGUUGGUGAGGUAACGGCUCACCAAGGCGACGAUACAUAGCCGACCUGAGAGGGUGAACGGCCACACUGGGACUGAGACACGGCCCAG
rnacentral:rRNA from 1 species